rnacentral:rRNA from 1 species
AAUAGAUACCCCGGUAGUCCACGCCCUAAACGAUGUCAACUGGUUGUCAGGGAAGCAAUUCCUUGGUAACGAAGCUAACGCGUGAAGUUGACCGCCUGGGGAGUACGGCCGCAAGGUUAAAACUCAAAGGAAUUGACGGGGACCCGCACAAGCGGUGGAUUAUGUGGAUUAAUUCGAUGCAACGCGAAAACCUUACCUACCCUUGACAUGUACGGAACUUGGCAGAGAUGCCUUGGUGCCCGAAAGGGAGCCGUAACACAGGUGCUGCAUGGCUGUCGUCAGCUCGUGUCGUGAGAUGUUGGGUUAAGUCCCGCAACGAGCGCAACCCUUGUCAUUAGUUGCUACAUUCAGUUGGGCACUCUAAUGAGACUGCCGGUGACAAACCGGAGGAAGGUGGGGAUGACGUCAAGUCCUCAUGGCCCUUAUGGGUAGGGCUUCACACGUAAUACAAUGGCCGGUACAGAGGGCUGCCAACCCGGCGAGGGGGAGCUAAUCCCAGAAAGCCGGUCGUAGUCCGGAUUGUUCUCUGCAACUCGAGAGCAUG